ACAAUUGACCCCCUUAGGAGUUAUUGUUCUUUAUAGUCAAUUUUUAACAAUUUUCAUAAAAUUUGUAAAUUUUUACUAACAUUUUCAACUGAAACUAAUGGGCCAAGUUCAUUAUAGAUAGAGAUAAUUUUAAGCAGCAAGAAUGUUCAGUAAAGUAAGAUGUACAAACACAUCACCAUCACCAAAACACAAUUUUGUCAUGAAUCCAUCUGCUUCCUUUAAUAUUCACAUAGACCAAGGUGAGCGACACAGGCUCUUUAGAGCCUCUAGUUUAAAAGUGUAAACAUAUUACUACAAUUUCAAUAGGUAUUUUUUUCUCAAUGAUUUUGAUGAGUAAGUUAAAAUAGCUGGAAGUUUUUACUUUUUUUUUUUACAAAAAGUGCAACUAAAUUACAUAAUACCUUUAUGUAAGCAAAUCAUAUGAUAUAUAUAGGUGGAGUCCUUUGGGCCACUCUACCCCCUCCUGUUUAAUAACUGAGAAACGGAUGAGAUCCCCAC
rnacentral:lncRNA from 1 species